UACGGGGGGGGCUAGCGUUGUUCGGAAUUACUGGGCGUAAAGGGCGCGUAGGCGGUCUGCUAAGUUGGAUGUGAAAACUCUGGGCUUAACCCAGAGCCUGCAUUCAAUACUGACAGGCUAGAGUUCUGGAGGGGAUAGCGGAAUUCCUGGUGUAGCGGUGAAAUUCGUAGAUAUCAGGAGGAACACCAGUGGCGAAGGCGGCUUUCUGGACGGUAACUGACGCUGAGACGCGAAAGCGUGGGGAGCAAACAGG
rnacentral:rRNA from 1 species